GUAUUCCUACGGGAGGCAGCAGUGAGGAAUAUUGGUCAAUGGUCGGGGGACUGAACCAGCCAAGCCGCGUGAGGGAGGAAGGUACAGAGUAUCGUAAACCUCUUUUGUCAGGGAACAAAGACUGGGACGCGUCCCCGGAUGAGUGUACCUGAAGAAAAAGCAUCGGCUAACUCCGUGCCAGCAGCCGCGGUAAUACGGAGGAUGCGAGCGUUAUCCGGAUUUAUUGGGUUUAAAGGGUGCGCAGGCGGUCUGUUAAGUCAGCGGUCAAAGCCCGGGGCUCAACCCCGGCCCGCCGUUGAAACUGG
rnacentral:rRNA from 1 species